GGAGUCUGGACCGUGUCUCAGUUCCAGUGUGGGGGACCUUCCUCUCAGAACCCCUACCGAUCGACGCCCUGGUGGGCCGUUACCCCGCCAGCAAGCUAAUCGGACGCAUCCCCAUCCCUGACCGUAACCUUUCAUGGCCGCGCGAUGCCGCACGGACACCCAUGGGGUGUUAAUUCUCCUUUCGGAGGGCUAUCCCCCGGUCAGGGGCAGGUUGGAUACGUGUUACUCACCCAUUCGCCGGUCGCCAUCGAAAGGACCGAAGUCCUCUCAUGAUGCCCCUCGACUUGCAUGUGUUAAGCCUGUAGCUAGCGUUCAUC
rnacentral:rRNA from 1 species